rnacentral:pre_miRNA from 14 species
AUUUGAGGUGGAGGAGAGAAAAGGUCUUCAUUUAAAAUGAAAGCUGCUCAUUUGCUUCUGGCUGCCUCUGAAAGAUCCCCAAAGGGAGACCCUUACUCAAGUCUCGGGAAGUCUCGGACCCCAGACACACGAGAGACC